UACGGAGGGUACAAGCGUUGUUCGGAAUUAUUGGGCGUAAAGAGCACGUAGGCGGAUUCGUAUGUCGAUUGUGAAAGCCCAGGGCUUAACCUUGGAAUUGCAGUCGAAACUGCGGAUCUUGAAUACUUGAGAGGGUGGGGGAAUUCCUGGUGGAGAAGUGAAAUUCGUAGAGAUCAGGAGGAACACCGGAGGCGUAGGCGCCUGCCUGGCAAGAUAUUGACGCUGAGGUGCGAAAGCGUGGGGAGCAAACAGG
rnacentral:rRNA from 1 species